AGCAGUGUAUCAUAGUGGUAAAGAGUAGGGCUUAUAACCAAAAGGUUGCUGGUUUGAUUCCCUGCUGGGGCACUGCUG